AGAGUUUGAUCAUGGCUCAGGAUGAACGCUAGCGGGAGGCUUAACACAUGCAAGUCGAGGGGCAGCACGAGGUAGCAAUACUUUGGUGGCGACCGGCGCACGGGUGAGUAACGCGUAUGCAACCUACCCUGUACAGGGGGAUAGCCCGGAGAAAUUCGGAUUAAUACCCCAUAAAGAUAUUCUGAGGCAUCUUUGGAUAUUUAAAGUUUCGACGGUACGGGAUGGGCAUGCGUAACAUUAGCUAGUUGGUAGGGUAACGGCCUACCAAGGCUACGAUGUUUAGGGGUCCUGAGAGGGUGAUCCCCCACACUGGUACUGAGACACGGACCAGACUCCUACGGGAGGCAGCAGUGAGGAAUAUUGGUCAAUGGGCGCAAGCCUGAACCAGCCAUCCCGCGUGCAGGAAGAAGGCGCUAUGCGUUGUAAACUGCUUUUCCAGGGGAAGAAAACCCCCGACGUGUCGGGGCUUGUCGGUACCCUGGGAAUAAGCAUCGGCUAACUCCGUGCCAGCAGCCGCGGUAAUACGGAGGAUGCGAGCGUUAUCCGGAUUCAUUGGGUUUAAAGGGUGCGUAGGCGGACCGAUAAGUCAGUGGUGAAAACCUGCAGCUUAACUGUAGAACUGCCAUUGAUACUGUCGGACUUGAGUAUGGUCAAGGUAGGCGGAAUGUGUAAUGUAGCGGUGAAAUGCUUAGAUAUUACACAGAACACCGAUUGCGAAGGC
rnacentral:rRNA from 1 species